rnacentral:ncRNA from 2 species
UAGGCUGGACACGCAGUCGGUUCGCGCUGUCCGCCAGGCAGCCGCGUCGUAAGAGGGAACCCGGUGGAAGUCCGGGACUGCCCCGCAGCGGUGAGUGGGAACGACCGCCGUCAUACGCACUGGACGCACCGCGUCCGGGAAGCGACGGUCAGUAGGAGCCUCGUACCGGUACGUACGUCAUACGUACGGCCAAUGGUUCACGGCCACGGCCACGAGGUGUGCCCACAAGUCCGAAGACCUGCCACUGCCCGUGUGCGAGC